rnacentral:tRNA from 1 species
UCUGGGGUGGCUCAAUUGGCAAAGCAAGCGGCUGUUAAGCGCGAGGUUGUGGGUUCGAUUCCCACCCCUGGAG